UGGCAUBGAUGAAAAACGUAKCGAAAUGCGAUACUUGGUGUGAAUUGCAGAAUCCCGUGAACCAUCGAGUCUUUGAACGCAAGUUGCGCCCGAGGCCCACUCGGCCGAGGGCACGCCUGCCUGGGCGUCACGCCACCCAUCGCGCCCCCCUCGGCAUCCCGAUGCCCCGCCGGGGAGCGGAGACUGGCCGUCCGUGCCCGAGCCCUCGGCGCGCGGUCGGCAGAAAAAGGAGGACACCGUGCGGCGCGGAACGGCGUGUGGGGGCUGAGAGGCGACUCGUCGCCGAUCGUACGUCGCGCCCGCAUUCCGCCGCGCGGUGCCGCCCCGUGGGACCGGACUCGCCCGCAUCCGCGGGCGCUCGGACCGCGACCCCAGGUCAGGCGUGGCCACCCGCUGAAUUUAAGCAUAUCAAU
rnacentral:rRNA from 1 species